UACGUAGGGGGCUAGCGUUGUCCGGAAUCAUUGGGCGUAAAGAGCGUGUAGGCGGUCCGGUAAGUCCGCUGUGAAAGUCGGGGGCUCAACCCUCGAAUGCCGGUGGAUACUGUCGGGCUAGAGUACGGAAGAGGCGAGUGGAAUUCCUGGUGUAGCGGUGAAAUGCGCAGAUAUCAGGAGGAACACCUAUUGCGAAGGCAGCUCGCUGGGACGUAACUGACGCUGAGGAGCGAAAGCCAGGGAAGCAAACGGG
rnacentral:rRNA from 1 species